CAAGAUCACACAAUUAGUCAACAGAUGAGGUAAGAGUAAACACAGUCCCCACUUGUGCAACUCCAGGACCCAUAUUCAUGACUAUUAUGCUGCGGAAAUCAUGAACCAGAUAAAGUUCACCUUUAGUCCCUUGUCUACACCCUGAAGGUGUAACAUGAGGGAUCCCAUCUGCUAUGGUUUGAAUGUGCGUGCCCGCUCCAAAAUUCAUGCUGAAACUUAAUCCCCAGCGCAACUGUAUCGGAAGGUAGGGCCUUCUGGUGGUGGGGUUGAGUGCUCUGCCCUCAUGAAUGGCAUUAAUGCCUUAUAAAGAGGCUUCACACUGCGUCUGCUCCUUUUUGGCCUUUAACCUUCCUCCACGUAAGGACACAGUGAACAAGGUGCCAUCUUGGAAACAAACAGCAGCCUUCACCAGACACCAGACCUUCUGGCACCUUGACCUUGCGCUUUCCAGCCUCCAGAACCGUGAGAAAUCAAUGUUUAUUGUUUAUAAAUUACCCAAUCUGUGGUAUUUUUUUAAAACAGCAUAAUGGGACUAAGACACCAUCAGAACUUGGGACCAAAAGAAUACUUUUGCCCUCUGAGAGCUGAUUCUUAACACAGAAUAAAAAUGAAGAAUUACUUUAAAGAGAUGGACUACCUCAAGGGACUAGAACUAUUGCCACUGAGGGCAGGUGAAAGUUCAGCCAACUCGGAACCCGGAGGCCCCACCUUACCUCCCUUUGUGAAGAGCCCAGAGCCUUUGUCCAAAGCUGCAUCACUUCCCACCCAGCCCUUCCUGAGCCAACUCCCCGAUGUCUCCAGAAGAACACAGUCGGCAUCAUCGUGAUAACAUCAGGGAAACUCCUAUUUCCAGCAGUUUCUCCUUCAGCUGCAAAAAUGUGCAGCAGUAGACAGGGCGUGGGUUUUUGAAGUCUCUGCAGGAAGUAGAGUUAUUUUCUCAGCACCACAUCUGAGCGCAUCUUCUAAGGGUGGCCGACUGUGUGGGAGCUGCAGGAGCUCAGCCGGGAUGCAGCCCUCCCAUUCCCCACCCUGUCCACUACCACCACGCCUGGAUCCGACAGGCAGGGCAGGACCCCAUGCCACGUGGUAACUGUUAAGGAAAAUGGAGCCAGGUAGGGGGGAUGUCUGAUACCCUUCCUGGUUUUCCUGAGUGUUCUUUGUCUCCCCAACUCCUACUCACAAUAAAUCUGACUACACUUAAACUUAGAUCAUCAUAAGAGACCCCGCAAAUGCCCACCAUCCUCCACUGCUGUGAUCAUGAAUCUAGAAUGGACAUUUCAUAUCAAUGCCACAGUCCCCUGAGACCAUCAGCCAGAAAUGUUAUCACAACUCCCUCGCUUUGCCCUCCAUUCCCAGAAGGCAAGGAAAGAAGGAACCCAGUUUCCCAGCACCCAGAUGCCUACUGAUCCUGGCACGCAGCUCAAAGUUCAGUUACAUUAAUGAUGGGCCUACUGCAUGCUUGGGGCGCUUCCCUGUGUGUUUUGUGUGGUCCUUUCAGAAGUCCUAUGGAUAGACAUUGUUAGCCCUAUGGUAUAGCUGAAGUUGAGAAUCCCUGGUGGUUAAGUCAUUCCCCCAGAUCACAUGGAUGGCAAGUGACAGAGGCAAGACCCAUCCUUGGGUCAGGUAUGAACGUCUCGAAGGCUUGGAUCUGUCUGCACGUGGGUGAUUAUCACAUCCAGACUUGCACUGAAGGUCAUGCUGGCUGCCAUGGGCUGUGAAUACCUUUCCUCAAUCAGGCACUUUGUGUCUAUUAUCUCAUUUAAUCUUUGUUCUGCUUUAUAAAGUGGCUCUUAAUAUGCCCCCUCUACAAAUGAGCCACCUUAUCUAAUGUCACUAAGAUGUGUACCGGACCUGAUUCCAAAGCCUAUGCAGUUUCCAUUAAGCACCUCUGCCUUUUGAAAAGUAGGUAAUUUCUCCAUCUCUCCUAGCCCCCAUUUUCUGAAUCUGUGGCACAUUAAAUGCAUAUAAAUGCAAAGACAGAUGACAGUAUCUCCAUGUCUGAAAGGUAGCCUACGUGUGUUAGCCUCUGGAGGCACCCUGCUAGGAGGCUGGAAUCUGGGAUCCAAUGCGGUCCAGCAUUUAGCAGAGUGUGCCGCUGCUCCAGGCUCCAGAGCAUUCUAGGUGCUAUGUAACAUUUGACAUUUUGACAUGGGCAUUAGAAAAAAAAAAUACAACUAGCACACUAAACUCAUUAUUUCAAAUAUUGAUCAGGAUAAAAAUAUGUUAACAAAAAAGUCAUUAAAAAUAAUGAGCUUCUUGUGAGUGAUUUACAGAUUUGACUAAAAUGCAAACUGUCAAUGACAAAUAUGAGAAUUAAUAUACUCCAAAGGGUAAUGAAGGAACAGUCCUCCUGACAUCUUUACAUGCCAGGUAGCACCCUGGCCUUUUAGAGAGGUAGGGAUAGCAAUUGUAAAGCAGCACUGGGUCCCCUAGCUAGAAUCGUCCAUUACUGGCUUUUGUCACUAACUGAAAAAUGCGGUCAUGGUUUCCUUUUCUCUGGCACAUUAAAAAUAAAGGACAUCUUUUUCCUUUCAUGUGGACAUCUGAUGAGAUUUACUGAAACUCUACCUUUAACGCUGCAAGAGUUUAUGGGAAAUAGUAAUCCACCCCAAGAAUAAACAGUAAAUGGAAUGACGAUUUUCUAGGAAGUGCUGUGUCUGGCUGCGGCAGAAGCAGCAAUGAGCUAAGAGAGGUUUUUUGGCAGCCCUGAAGGGCC
rnacentral:lncRNA from 10 species